rnacentral:lncRNA from 1 species
AUGAGUCCCUCUCUCUCUCUCCUUCCCACAGGCAGACUUGUAGACGCCACUCUAGCUUUUUUAGCGUUAAGAGUAGGAAGCAGUCACUACAAAGGCAUGUCUACAUUGCAGGCAGAGCUGGGAUUGCACCACAUGAAGACACACUUGGGUUACCUAUUCUGCCAGCGCCGGGACACCGCGUGCUUAGCAGUGCCCUCACCCUGCGCUAAGCUGCAGCCUCCCACAACUCCAUUGCCCUUCCCAGCUGGGUUCCCACAUGUGUAUUUCCACAGAUGCACAUCCAGCAGACCUCCCGCUGAAUUAAUAAAAUUAUGCACUGGAUGAUUUUCAACUCUUCUAUUUCCUCCCUUCCACCAAGCAAAAGGAUUGAAAAAACACUGAUAAACAGAAGAACAGAAAUGGAAAAUAGAACAGAAAAGAUCUGUGCUAGGACACCUUGGGGGCAAUCCUGAAUGUUGUCCCUCUUUAAAUACUUUCUAAGAAAGCCAUUUUUCAUCCUGCAAAUAAUUAUGAGGACCUGUCAUCCAUCACCUAAAGGAAAUUUCUUCAUUAAAAUCCAUUUGUCGUGU